UCCGGUUUGGCACCGGCAGUCCUCCCAGAGUCCCCGACUUGACUCGCUGGCAACUGGGAGCGGGGGUUGCGCUCGUUGCGGGACUUAACCCAACACCUCACGGCACGAGCUGACGACAGCCAUGCAGCACCUGUGCAAUUCGCCUUGCGGGGUCGUUACCCUUUCGGGCUUCUACCACGUGCAUGUCAAGGCCAGGUAAGGUUCUUCGCGUUGCAUCGAAUUGAGCCACAUACUCCACCGCUUGUGCAGGCCCCCGUCAAUUCCUUUGAGUUUCAGCCUUGCGGCCGUACUCCCCAGGCGGGGCACUUAUCGCGUUAGCUGCGGCACCGAAGGGGUCGCUCCCCCCGGCACCUAGUGCCCAUCGUUUACGGCGUGGACUAC
rnacentral:misc_RNA from 1 species